rnacentral:rRNA from 1 species
CUUUGUGAACAUACCCCAAACGUUGCCUCGGCGGGCAGCCGGAGCCCAGCUCCUUCGCCCGGAGCCGCCGUCUCGGCGCGCCCCACCCGCCGGCGGACCACCAAACUCUAUUUAAACGACGUCUCUUCUGAGUGGCACAAGCAAAUAAUCAAAACUUUUAACAACGGAUCUCUUGGUUCUGGCAUCGAUGAAGAACGCAGCGAAAUGCGAUAAGUAAUGUGAAUUGCAGAAUUCAGUGAAUCAUCGAAUCUUUGAACGCACAUUGCGCCCGCCAGCAUUCUGGCGGGCAUGCCUGUUCGAGCGUCAUUUCAACCCUCAAGCACCGCUGGGCGUUGGGGCCCUACGGCUUCCGUAGGCCCCGAAAUACAGUGGCGGACCCUCCCGGAGCCUCCUUUGCGUAGUAACAUACCACCUCGCAAUGGGAUCCGGAGGGACUCCUGCCGUAAAAUCCCUCAAUUUUCCAAAGGUUGACCUCGGAUGAGGUAGGGAAUACCCGCUGAACUUAAGAAUUCAUAAAAAAGGAAAAGGAAAUUAUCGAGUUUCCGCUCCGUAUACCCUGUGUGAACAUACCCCAAACGUUGCC